rnacentral:rRNA from 1 species
GAUGAACGCUGGCGGCGUGCUUAACACAUGCAAGUCGAACGGUGAAGGCGGAGCUUGCUCUGCUGGAUCAGUGGCGAACGGGUGAGUAACACGUGAGCAAUCUGCCCCUGACUCUGGGAUAAGCGCUGGAAACGGCGUCUAAUACUGGAUACGAGCUGCGAAGGCAUCUUCAGCAGCUGGAAAGAAUUUCGGUCAGGGAUGAGCUCGCGGCCUAUCAGCUUGUUGGUGAGGUAAUGGCUCACCAAGGCGUCGACGGGUAGCCGGCCUGAGAGGGUGACCGGCCACACGGGGACUGAGACACGGCCCAGACUCCUACGGGAGGCAGAAGUGGGGAAUAUUGCACAAUGGGCGAAAGCCUGAUGCAGCAACGCCGCGUGAGGGACGACGGCCUUCGGGUUGUAAACCUCUUUUAGCAGGGAAGAAGCGAAAGUGACGGUACCUGCAGAAAAAGCGCCGGCUAACUACGUG